CAUUUGCUUCAUAAUUGGGGGCUAGAAUGAAAGGAAUUACAAAAUUUUUUCUUUAUUUUUAAGAAAAAAAUAAUUUGCUUUUUUAGUGAAGAAGCUAAAGUAAAAAAGUGGGACAAGAAGACCCUUUUGAGCUUUAUUAGAUAUUUUUUUUUUAAAAGUUAAUAAUUUGGUUGGGGCGACUAAGGAAGAAAUUUUAUCUUCCUUUUAUUUUUUGAUCCAAAGAUUUUGAUUAAUAGAAUAAGCUACCAAAGGGAUAACAGCGUAAUUUUUUUUGUGAGUUCUUAUCAAAAAAAAAGAUUGCGACCUCGAUGUUGACUUAUAGUUUCCUUUUGGGGUAGCCGUUAAAAGGGUGGGUCUGUUCGACCUUUAAAACUUU
rnacentral:rRNA from 1 species